rnacentral:rRNA from 1 species
GCUUACGGCCACACCGCCUGGUUCACGCCCGAUCUCGUUUGAUCUCGGAAGCUAAGAUAGGUUUGGGCCUGGUUAGUACUUGGAUGGGAGACCGCCUAGGAAUACCAGGUGCUGUAAGGC